rnacentral:rRNA from 1 species
GACGAACGCUGGCGGCGUGCUUAACACAUGCAAGUCGAACGGCAAGGCCCUGCUUGCAGGGUACUCGAGUGGCGAACGGGUGAGUAACACGUGGGUGAUCUGCCCUGCACUUCGGGAUAAGCCUGGGCAACUGGGUCCAAUACCGGAUAGGAGCCAUUUUUAGUGUGUUGGUUGGGAAGUUUUUUCGGUGUUGGAUGAGCUCGCGGGCUAUCAGCUUGUUGGUGGGGUAAUGGCCUACCAAGGCGGCGACGGGUAGACGGCCUGAGAGGGUGGACGGCCACAUUGGGACUGAGAUACGGCCCAGACUCCUACGGGAGGCAGCAGUGGGGAAUAUUGCACAAUGGGCGCAAGCCUGAUGCAGCGACGCCGCGUGGGGGAUGACGGCCUUCGGGUUGUAAACUCCUUUCGCUAGGGACGAAGCUUUUUGUGACGGUACCUAGAUAAGAAGCACCGGCUAACUACGUG